rnacentral:rRNA from 1 species
AACGACGCUGGCGGCUGCUCAUACCCGCAGUCGAACGGGGUCUUCGGACCUAGUGGCGCACGGGUGAGUAACAUGUGGGAAUCUACCUAAAGGUUCGGAAUAACUGCGGGAAACUGUAGCUAAUACCGGAUGUGUCUGCAAAGAGAAAGAUUUAUCGCCUUUAGAUGAGCCCGCACUAGAUUAGCUAGUUGGUGAGGUAAAUGCUCCACCAAGGCUACGAUCUAUAGCUGAUUUGAGAGGAUGAUCAGCCACACUGGGACUGAGACACGGCCCAGACUCCUACGGGAGGCAGCAGUAGGGAAUAUUGGACAAUGGGGGAAACCCUGAUCCAGCAAUGCCGCGUGAGUGAAGAAGGCCUUAGGGUUGUAAAACUCUUUCAUCAAUGAUGAUAAUGACAUUAAUUGAAGAAGAAGCUCCGGCUAACUUCGUGCCAGCAGCCGCGGUAAUACGAAGGGGGCUAGCGUUGUUCGGAAUCACUGGGCGUAAAGCGUAUGUAGGCGGAUCAAAAAGUUAGAUGUGAAAUCCCUGGGCUCAAACCAGGAACUGCAUUUAAAACUAGUGAUCUAGAAAUUGGUCAAGGGUUAGUAGAAUUUCCAGUGUAGAGGUGAAAU